AGAGCACCACUGGUCAGAAGUAAG
rnacentral:sRNA from 1 species